UUAAGCAUAUCAAUAAGCGGAGGAAAAGAAACCAACAGGGAUUGCUUUAGUAACGGCGAGUGAAGCGGCAAUAGCUCAAAUUUGAAAUCUGGCACUUGUGUCCGAGUUGUAAUUUGCAGAAGAUGAUUUUGGUUAGGUACCUUCCGAGUUCCUUGGAACAGGACGCCUUAGAGGGUGAGAGCCCCGUACGGUUGGAUGCCGAGCCUUUGUAAAUCUCUUUCGACGAGUCGAGUAGUUUGGGAAUGCUGCUCUAAAUGGGAGGUAAAUUUCUUCUAAAGCUAAAUACUGGCCAGAGACCGAUAGCGCACAAGUAGAGUGAUCGAAAGAUGAAAAGCACUUUGAAAAGAGGGUUAAAUAGCACGUGAAAUUGUUGAAAGGGAAGGAUUUAUGACCAGACUUUUUCUAGGAGGAUCAUCCGGUGUUCUCACCGGUGCACUUCUUCUAGUCUAGGCCAGCAUCGACUUUCGGCGGCGGAUAAAAGCUUCAGGAAUGUGACUCCCUACGGGGAGUGUUAUAGCCUGUUGUAUAAUACGCUGCUGGGGGUCGAGGUACGCGCUUCUGCAAGGAUGCUGGCGUAAUGGUUAUCAAUCACCCGUCUUGAAACACGGACCAAGGAGUCGAACAUUUGUGCAAGUGUUUGGGUGUUAAACCCUCACGCGUAAUGAAAGUGAACGGAGGUGAGAGCCCUUACGGGUGCAUCAUCGACCGAUCCUGAUGUUUUCGGAUGGAUUUGAGUAAGAGCAUAACUGUUCGGACCCGAAAGAUGGUGAACUAUGCGUGGAUAGGGUGAAGCCAGAGGAAACUCUGGUGGAGGCUCGCAGCGGUUCUGACGUGCAAAUCGAUCGUCAAAUCUGCGCAUGGGGGCGAAAGACUAAUCG
rnacentral:rRNA from 1 species